ensembl:snoRNA
UCCCUUGUGGUUCAUAAGCACGAGCAGGUUUUCACGUCAUUAUGCAAGACAUGCCUCCCUAAAACCUUGUUAUAACAUUGGCACUGUACAUGUAUGAUG